UCUGGUUGAUCCUGCCAGUAGUCAUAUGCUUGUCUCAAAGAUUAAGCCAUGCAUGUCUAAGUAUAAAUAGUAUACAGUGAAACUGCGAAUGGCUCAUUAAAACAGUUAUAGUUUAUUUGAUAAUUGACAAUUACAUGGAUAACCGUGGUAAUUCUAGAGCUAAUACAUGCUUAAACGCCCGACUUUAUGGAAGGGUGGUAUUUAUUAGACUGAAGCCAAUAUUCCUUGUGUCUAUUGCGGUGAUUCAUAAUAACUGAUCGAAUCUCUUUUUGAGAUAAAUCAUUCAAGUUUCUGCCCUAUCAGCUUUCGAUGGUAGUGUAUUGGACUACCAUGGCAGUAACGGGUAACGAAGAAUUAGGGUUCGAUUUCGGAGAGGGAGCAUGAGAAACGGCUACCACAUCUAAGGAAGGCAGCAGGCGCGUAAAUUACCCAAUCCUGACUCAGGGAGGUAGUGACAAGAAAUAGCAAACCGGGAACCUCAUGGUUUCACGGUAUUGCAAUGAGAACAAUUUAAAACCCUUAGCGAGAAUCAAGUGGAGGACAAGUCUGGUGCCAGCACCCGCGGUAAUUCCAGCUCCACUAGCGUAUAUUAAAGUUGUUGCAGUUAAAAAGCUCGUAGUUGAACCUCUGUCUGGGGCUAGUUUUGGCUUUGGUCAGGCUAGUUCUAGGCAUCCGCCUACAAGACUUAGAGGGCAUUCAGUUGUUCACUAGGAGGAGUAGGCAUUUUACUUUGAAAAAAUUAGAGUGUUUAAGGCAGGCAAUCGCCCGCAUAUAUUAGCAUGGAAUAAUAGAAUAGGACACUUUUCCAUUUCGUUGGUUAUUGGAAUCGUGUAAUGAUUAAUAGGGACAGUUGUGGGCAUUUGUAUUUAAUUGUCAGAGGUGAAAUUCUUGGAUUUAUUAAAGACAAACUAACGCGAAAGCAUUUGCCAAGGAUGUUUUCAUUAAUCAAGAACGAAAGUUAGGGGAUCAAAGACGAUCAGAUACCGUCCUAGUCUUAACUAUAAACUAUUCCGACUCAAUGUUUGACUGGCUUAUAUAACCAGUUGAGCGUUGUAUGAGAAAUCAAAGUCUUUAGGUUCUGGGGGGAGUAUGGUUGCAAAGCUGAAACUUAAAGGAAUUGACGGAAGAGCACAACCAGGAGUGGAUUCUGCGGCUUAAUUUGACUCAACACGGGGAAACUUACCAGGUUAAAACAAUAGUGGGAUUGACAGUUUGAGAGCGCUUUCUUGAUUGGUUGGGUGGUGGUGCAUGGCCGUUCUUAGUUGGUGGAGUGAUUUGUCUGCUUAAUUGCGUUAACGAACGAGACCUUAACCUGCUUACUAGACUGGCGAUCAUC
rnacentral:rRNA from 1 species